UAGCCUAGUUAGGUUAAGGCUAUGGAUCGCCAAUCCGGAGAUGGCGGGUUCGAUUCCCGU
rnacentral:tRNA from 1 species